UACGUAGGGCGCAAGCGUUGUCCGGAAUUAUUGGGCGUAAAGAGCUCGUAGGCGGCUUGUCACGUCGGUUGUGAAAGCCCGGGGCUUAACCCCGGGUCUGCAGUCGAUACGGGCAGGCUAGAGUUCGGUAGGGGAGAGUCGGAAUUCCUGGUGUAGCGGUGAAAUGACGCAGAUAUCAGGAGGAACACCAGUGGCGAAGGCGGUUGCCUGGAGCUUUGCUGACGCUGAGGCGCGAAAGCGUGGGGAGCGAUCCGG
rnacentral:rRNA from 1 species